rnacentral:rRNA from 1 species
AUUGAACGCUGGCGGCAGGCCUAACACAUGCAAGUCGAGCGGAUGAAGGGAGCUUGCUCCUGGAUUCAGCGGCGGACGGGUGAGUAAUGCCUAGGAAUCUGCCUGGUAGUGGGGGAUAACGUCCGGAAACGGGCGCUAAUACCGCAUGCGUCCUGAGGGAGAAAGUGGGGGAUCUUCGGACCUCACGCUAUCAGAUGAGCCUAGGUCGGAUUAGCUAGUUGGUGGGGUAAAGGCCUACCAAGGCGACGAUCGGUAACUGGUCUGAGAGGAAGAUCAGUCACACGGGAAGUGAGACACGGUCGAGACACCGAGGGGAGGACGCAGUGGGGAAUAUUGGACAAGGGGCGAAAGGCGGAUCCAGCGAUGCCGGGGGUGUGAAGAAGGACUUAGGAUGGGAAAGCGAUGAAAGUUGGGAGAAAGGGAAGUAAUUUAAUACCUGGCGGUAUUGACGGUACCAACAGAAGAAGCACCGGCUAACUUCGUG